rnacentral:lncRNA from 1 species
AGGGAUGGCGUAUUUUCUUGCACUGAGUGCUGCGGCGUCGCUGGCCGCUGAGGAGGGCAGAGAUUUCUGUGUGAAAUAGUGGGAGGGCUCCAAGGAAGCCUCUUGAAGAGCCGCAGUCAGAACAAUAAAUUGAGAAGUCGAUGUGGGCACUGCUAGUCUCGUACCGGCGGCGGCUUCAAGUCUGAGAUCAUCGUGGAACCGUGAGCAACAGCGCGGUGGCAGGGGGGACCCGGAUGGGGAGCGGGGGAGGGGGCGGUACGGAGGAGGAAGCAGUAAGGAGGGAGAGAGGACCCGGAUGCUGACCCGGCUCGGAGUGACUGCCGGCCGGGUGCUGGGAUGAGGGGAGGCAGAGGAGCUCGGAAAGAGUGGAAGGGCCACCGGUGCAGCGCAGGGAAGAAGCCCGCCUGCGAGCUUAUUACAGCUAUGCCUGUGUGGAGCCCUUUCUUUUCCUUCAGAGCCAUCGCCCCCCGGGGCUUGGAGUCAAAGGUUCUUGCUAUGCGCCUAACAGCUGAGCUCGGUGACCCAUAUCUGUGUCGCUAGUCUCAAGCCAGAGCCGGCCUAUUUUAAAAAGAGAGAGAGAUACUUUGCAUGAAAUUUUCAAUAUUGUAUGAAUGUUUGAUGCUCAGAGUUCACCCUCUGAGAUGUUAGAAGUCCUCAUGUGGAAAGAGGGGAUGUAUAACUUCCUGAACGGAAGUCUAGUCAAAAUGAAACCUGAUAGGAGGACCUUUGGCUUCGAGAGGUAUAGAAAGGUUUUCCUGAGAGUGUGAGAACUAAGCUUGACUCAAGAAGCCAGCCAGAGUUACUAAGGGAAGUCCCUAAAGGAAAGGAAACCUGUUUCAGGAAAAAGACUUCCCAGUAGGAAGAACUGAGGCCCAGAGAGGUGAGGUAGGAAUUUUGAUCCAGUACCCUGGAGACUGAAACAGGAUGACCCUGUCUUC